rnacentral:rRNA from 1 species
CCUACGGGGGGCAGCAGUGGGGAAUAUUGCACAAUGGGGGAAACCCUGAUGCAGCGACGCCGCGUGAGUGAGGACGUACUUCGGUAUGUAAAGCCCUAUCAGCAGGGAAGAAAAUGACGGCACGUGACCAAGAAGCUCCGGCUAACUACGUGCCAGCAGCCGCGGUCAUACGUAGGGGGCAAGCGUUAUCCGGAUUUACUGGGUGUAAAGGGAGCGUAGACGGCUAAUCAAGUCAGACGUGAAAACCCAGGGAUCAACUUUGGGACUGCUGUUGAAACCGGGUGGCUAGAGUGUAGGAGAGGUAAGCGGAAUUCCUAGUGUAGCGGUGAAAUGCGUAGAUAUUAGGAAGAACGCCGAUGGCGAAGGCAGCUUACUGGACUGUAACUGACGUUGAGGCACGAAAGCGUGGGGAGCAAACAGGAUUAGAUACCCGAGUAGUC